AGACCCGAAACCCGGUGAUCUAGCCAUGGGCAGGUUGAAGGUUGGGUAACACUAACUGGAGGACCGAACCGACUAAUGUUGAAAAAUUAGCGGAUGACCUGUGGCUGGGGGUGAAAGGCCAAUCAAACCGGGAGAUAGCUGGUUCUCCCCGAAAGCUAUUUAGGUAGCGCCUCGUGAAUUCAUCUCCGGGGGUAGAGCACUGUUUCGGCUAGGGGGCCAUCCCGGCUUACCAACCCGAUGCAAACUGCGAAUACCGGAGAAUGUUAUCACGGGAGACACACGGCGGGUGCUAACGUCCGUCGUGAAGAGGGAAACAACCCAGACCGCCAGCUAAGGUCCCAAAGUCAUGGUUAAGUGGGAAACGAUGUGGGAAGGCCCAGACAGCCAGGAUGUUGGCUUAGAAGCAGCCAUCAUUUAAAGAAAGCGUAAUAGCUCACUGGUCGAGUCGGCCUGCGCGGAAGAUGUAACGGGGCUAAACCAUGCACCGAAGCUGCGGCAGCGAACGUAUCACUUAAAGCGAUUCAGCGGGUUACGAUUGACGGAGCGAAGCGACGUCAAAGCGUAUACAAAGUCGAGUCGGUUUAAGGAUACGUUCGUUGGGUAGGGGAGCGUUCUGUAAGCCUGCGAAGGUGGCCUGUGAGGGUUGCUGGAGGUAUCAGAAGUGCGAAUGCUGACAUAAGUAACGAUAAAGCGGGUGAAAAGCCCGCUCGCCGGAAGACCAAGGGUUCCUGUCCAACGUUAAUCGGGGCAG
rnacentral:rRNA from 1 species